rnacentral:rRNA from 1 species
AGAACGAACGCUGGCGGCAUGCCUAACACAUGCAAGUCGAACGAGACCUUCGGGUCUAGUGGCGCACGGGUGCGUAACGCGUGGGAAUCUGCCCUUGGGUUCGGGAUAACAGUUGGAAACGACUGCUAAUACCGGAUGAUGUCUUCGGACCAAAGAUUUAUCGCCCAAGGAUGAGCCCGCGUAGGAUUAGCUU